rfam:Gossypium raimondii Chr01_contig_991, whole genome shotgun sequence.
AAACCAUGGUAUGGACACUUGCGUAGCAUCUACUUUAAGCACUCCCAUGUCUCAUAUAAUGACUCUCUUUCAAUUGUCAAAAAUUCAUAAUAUCCUUACAAAGUUU